rnacentral:rRNA from 1 species
AUUGAACGCUGGCGGCAGGCUUAACACAUGCAAGUCGAGCGAGCGGCGGACGGGUGAGUAAUGUCUGGGAAACUGCCUGAUGGAGGGGGAUAACUACUGGAAACGGUAGCUAAUACCGCAUACCAUCAGAUGUGCCCAGAUGGGAUUAGCUAGUAGGUGGGGUAAUGGCUCACCUAGGCGACGAUCCCUAGCUGGUUUGAGUGGAUGACCAGACACACGGGAGCUGCGGCACGGUCCAGAUUCCUCCGGGAGGCAGCAGUGGGGAAUAUUGCACGAUGGGCGCGAGCCUGAUGCAGACAGGCCGCGUGUGUGAAGAAGGCCUUCGGGUUGUAGAGCACUUUCAGCGGGGAGGCGUUACUCGCAGAAGAAGCACCGGCUAACUCCGUGCCAGCAGCCGCGGUAAUAC